rnacentral:rRNA from 1 species
UACGGAGGGGGCUAGCGUUGUUCGGAAUUACUGGGCGUAAAGCGCACGUAGGCGGCUUUGUAAGUUAGAGGUGAAAGCCCAGGGCUUAACCCUGGAAUUGCCUUUAAGACUGCAUCGCUAGAAUUGUGGAGAGGUAAGUGGAAUUCCGAGUGUAGAGGUGAAAUUCGUAGAUAUUCGGAAGAACACCAGUGGCGAAGGCGACUUACUGGACACAUAUUGACGCUGAGGUGCGAAAGCGUGGGGAUCAAACAGG